AGCGAACGCUGGCGGCAGGCCUAACACAUGCAAGUCGAACGGAUCCUUCGGGAUUAGUGGCGGACGGGUGAGUAACACGUGGGAACGUGCCCUUUGGUUCGGAACAACUCAGGGAAACUUGAGCUAAUACCGGAUGUGCCCUUCGGGGGAAAGAUUUAUCGCCAUUGGAGCGGCCCGCGUCUGAUUAGCUAGUUGGUGAGGUAACGGCCCACCAAGGCGACGAUCAGUAGCUGGUCUGAGAGGAUGAUCAGCCACACUGGGACUGAGACACGGCCCAGACUCCUACGGGAGGCAGCAGUGGGGAAUCUGGCGCAAUGGGCGAAAGCCUGACGCAGCCAUGCCGCGUGAAUGAUGAAGGUCUUAGGAUUGUAAAAUUCUUUCAGCGGGGACGAUAAUGACGGUACCCGCAGAAGAAGCUCCGGCUAACUUCGU
rnacentral:rRNA from 1 species